rnacentral:rRNA from 1 species
UACGAAGGGGGCUAGCGUUGUUCGGAAUUACUGGGCGUAAAGCGCACGUAGGCGGAUAUUUAAGUCAGGGGUGAAAUCCCAGAGCUCAACUCUGGAACUGCCUUUGAUACUGGGCAUCUUGAGUAUGGAAGAGGUAAGUGGAAUUGCGAGUGUAGAGGUGAAAUUCGUAGAUAUUCGCAGGAACACCAGUGGCGAAGGCGGCUUACUGGUCCAUUACUGACGCUGAGGUGCGAAAGCGUGGGGAGCAAACAGG